ACACCUCAGUAAUGGCUAUUGGUCUCCUGUGUCAUUCUGAAAGUAAGUGGUGGCUUCCAUUGAAGAUCUUCCCACACAGGCCAACAAAUAAUCAACAAGGUAGCUAUGAAAACAUA